rnacentral:rRNA from 1 species
GAUGAACGCUAGCGGCAGGCUUAAUACAUGCAAGUCGAGGGACAGCACAGGUAGCAAUACUGGGUGGUAACCGGCAAACGGGUGCGGAACACGUACACAACCUUCCCUUAAGUGGGGGAUAGCCCAGAGAAAUUUGGAUUAAUACCCCGUAUAUAGUUGAAUGCAUCAUUUGAUUAUUUUAGCUACGGCGCUUAAUGAUGGGUGUGCGGCUGAUUAGAUAGUUGGCGGGGUAACGGCCCACCAAGUCUACGAUCAGUAGCUGAUGUGAGAGCAUGAUCAGCCGCACGGGCACUGAGACACGGGCCCGACUCCUACGGGAGGCAGCAGUAAGGAAUAUUGGUCAAUGGACGCAAGUUUGAACCAGCCAUGCCACGUGAAGGAUUAAGGUCCUCUGGAUUGUAAACUUCUUUUAUUUGGGACGAAAAAGGGCCUUUCUAGGUCAACUGACGGUACCAGAUGAAUAAGCACCGGCUAACUCCGUGCCAGCCGCCGCCGUAAGAC